CGAUUGUAGCGAAAUAAAUAUAGAGAAAUUGAUUGGCCGAUUGUCGUGAGAUUUUAUGAUCUUCAUCGACGAAUCCACCUCUCGAGCUUCUCACCUUU